UAUCUGAAUUCCCCCAUUCUUUCCUCCUUUUUGUUGCUCACGAUCUCAAAUCCCCAAUCCCUAACCUAACACUCCCUCUCACUCUCCUUUCUUUUUAUCUCUUUCGCCUACAUUGUCGCCUCUGGUGCCGUCACCGGCGACCACCACUGCCGCCGCCACACCUCCUCCCUCACCACCCUCUAUCUCGUCUCCUAUUCUCUUCACUAAUCUUUACCGGUCAUCUACUUCGUCUUCUCCAAUCUCGUCAUCGGUUCCAAAACCCUAACCCUACCUUCGAUUUUCUCCAAUCCCUCCACAAGCCAUAUGUUCAAAUCUAGACCCUACACUCCCUUCGACUGUUUCAGAACCUUUGUCUAAAAAAGACUACCAUCGGACUCAUCAGAACGGCGAUCUUGAACGGGCUGAUUGCGAUGAGAAAGAUCAGGCGGUGAGGCACAUUAAUGCGUCAGAAACAAAAUAAAAAAAUGGACAGUUCAUCUUUACCGUAAUUUUUCUCUCAAUUUCAGUUCAAAUGUAAGUAUGAUAUAGUCGUCUUCAAUGUAGGUUUCUUGGGUUACUAGUACUAGUCUUAACUAUGCACUUUAUGUGUUUGUUUAAUUGACUGAAUGGUGUGUUUGUUGGAACAAUUUCUUGGUUGGAGACGAAGUUAACGAAGGAAGAUGGCGAGGGGUGGGAGUGAGUGGGGAUAUAAUGGGAGAGGGAAGUGGUGUUCAUACAAGUGAACCACUCUCAUCGUAUGCUCAAUCAACAUUGGCGUUGCUCUCUAUGUUCUUCAUUCUUUGUACACUUUGCUUUACAUUUAUUCUUAUAACGAUUCACAAAACGGUAAGUGUUCUUGCAGCUCCAUACGCCUAGUUUUUAUUUGGAUUUCUCCAACCCAUUUCCUAAUCAAGGCUUUUUCAUAUACCCAAUUCCCUAUUUAUUAAUAUUAUUUUAUUUUUUUCUUCUAAAAGGAGUUUCUUGUAUACAAUUGUCAAGUACACCCCAGAUCAGAUUAGGAAAAUGGAAGAUUCAAUUUGAAUACGAAAAACAUCCGAACCUGUAGAGCUAAUUAAAUUGGUAAAAGAAAUUAAGAAGGAAUUUUUAAGUGAACAAAGCCCUGUCGAAUUGCCGCAGCACUUGAAACAAAAGAUAACGGAUGAGAUCGUUAGAAGGUUGAGGGGCUUGAGAGCCGGUGCUAAUGUGAGCGAGCAGCGAAAUAUUUACUGAGUAGGAGUUUGCUUCUUGUGGAAUACAUGCUUGGUGAAAAGGCGACUAACUUUUGUUUUUGUUACCCACAGAAAAAUGAUGAGGAAAACUUUUAAUUUUGGUUUACGUUAUUUUGAAUGAUGAACAACUUUAUGUAUUUUAACAUUAUAUAUGUAUUAUGGAAUAUUAUGUAGUGGGGCAAUUUUGUUGAUGUGUAGUUAUGGAUGAAAGAAUGUUUUUAUUAUGGAGAAAUUGUUAUUUCUAUACAGAAAUUUUAUAUUA